rfam:Gossypium raimondii scaffold_454_contig_2, whole genome shotgun sequence.
GGGUGAGAUCAUACCUGCUCUAAUGCACCGGAUCCUAUCUAAACGACGUAGUUGAGCGUGCUAGGGCGAGAGUAGUCCUAGGAUGGAUGACCUCCUGCGAUGUCCUCGUGUUGCACCCC